UGAUACAUCUUCCCCGGUUUCCAAAGAAUAUGCAAUCAUGGACUUUCGAUUCGAGAAUGAAUGUGUUCAUUGGUACACAACGAUCAAACAAGGAGCAACCGCUUCUGUGAAUAAUUUUCAGGCAUUAGAGCAUUACACAAAAGGAGAAUUACCUACAUUUGCUCGACCCUAGAUAACAUACAACUAUUUAUUGAUUCCAGUCGCAUAUCCAGGCAACAGUUGGUUUAUUUUUCUUGUUGAUUUUGAAAAGUGGAAAUUUCAAGUAUAUGAUUGCAGCCACAACAUUCAUACACCAGAUGCAAUCAAGUUACGUGCAGCCCCAGUUUUGGAUGUAGUACAAUCAUUAUUAAUAGUUACUGACAUUUUCUUCGGGAAGCCAAAUUUACGAAAACAUAGAAAUAAACGCAUGAAAUUGGAAAUCAUACCGUAUCUACCUUGUCAAAAUAAUGGGUAAGUAUCUCAACAAUUUACUUUAAUAUUUAUUUUUCUAUUCAAUUUUAUUUUACAUUUAUAGCAUUACUAUAAAAUAACUUCAAACUAUUUUUUCUGUAGGCCAAACUCUGGAGUUCUUCUUCUCAAAUACAUUGAAUGCUUCAUUUUCGGAUAUCCAUUAGAAGCAGUUUCAACUGAGAAAAUACGUUUAUACAGACGAAAAAUUGUCACAGAUAUCAGUCAAAAUGAAUAUUUUUUCCGUCCAUAUUUAUCAUAACCAUAACAAAGAAGGUAACUUUUUUUUUUUUAUAAUGUCCCCAUCAUGUAAAGCAAAAGUUAUAAUAAGGUAAAAGCAUUACCAAAAUAAAUGUCUAUAUUCAUUAAUUAAUUCAAUCUCAAUUUUUUCUACAUAUACUUUAGUCUUGUUUCUUUCUACUUCUGCUAAUAGCUUUUCUCUUGCUUUAAUAGGUAUGCCCUGUCAUGAUUGAUGUUAAAACCAAGAAGAACUUUUCAUCACCCAUCAUGUAAGUAUC
rnacentral:lncRNA from 1 species